rnacentral:tRNA from 1 species
UCGGAGAUCGUCUAGCGGUAGGACCGGAGCCUUUGGAGCUCUUAACCGGGGUUCGAUUCCCUGUCUCCGAACCA